UACGGGGGGGGCAAGCGUUGUUCGGAAUUACUGGGCGUAAAGGGCUCGUAGGUGGCCAACUAAGUCAGACGUGAAAUCCCUCAGCUUAACUGGGAACUGCGUCUGAUACUGGAUGGCUUGAGUUUGGGAGAGGGAUGCGGAAUUCCAGGUGUAGCGGUGAAAUGCGUAGAUAUCUGGAGGAACACCGGUGGCGAAGGCGGCAUCCUGGACCAUUACUGACACUGAAAAGCGAAAGCCAGGGGAGCAAACGUG
rnacentral:rRNA from 1 species